GUGGGGAAUCUUCCACAAUGGACGAAAGUCUGAUGGAGCAACGCCGCGUGAGUGAAGAAGGGUUUCGGCUCGUAAAGCUCUGUUGUCGGGGACGAAUGUGCAGUAUUUGAAUAAAGUAGUGCAAUGACGGUACCUGACGAGGAAGCCACGGCUAACUACGUGCCAGCAGCCGCGGUAAUACGUAGGUGGCAAGCGUUGUCCGGAAUUAUUGGGCGUAAAGGGAGCGCAGGCGGGAAGGUAAGUCGGUCUUAAAAGUGCGGGGCUCAACCCCGUGAUGGGAUCGAAACUAUCUUUCUUGAGUGCAGGAGAGGAAAGUGGAAUUCCUAGUGUAGCGGUGAAAUGCGUAGAUAUUAGGAGGAACACCAGUGGCGAAGGCGGCUUACUGGACUGUAACUGACGCUGAGGCGCGAAAGUGUGGGGAGCAAACAGGAUUAGAUACCCUGGUAGUCC
rnacentral:rRNA from 1 species